UUCCGGUUGAUCCUGCCGGACCUGACUGCUAUCGGAUUGAUACUAAGCCAUGCGAGUCUUUGCAGUAAUGCAAGGCAUACGGCUCAGUAACACGUAGUCAACUUACCCUAUGGACGAGGAUAAUCUCGGGAAACUGAGCAUAAUACUCGAUAGAUCAUAAUGCCUGGAAUGGUUUAUGGUUAAAAUGAUUCGUCGCCAUAGGAUGGGACUGCGGCCUAUCAGCUUGUUGGUGAGGUAAUGGCCCACCAAGGCGAUUACAGGUACGGGCUCUGAGAGGAGAAGCCCGGAGAUGGGUACUGAGACAAGGACCCAGGCCCUAUGGGGCGCAGCAGGCGAGAAAACUUUGCAAUGUGCGAAAGCACGACAAGGUUAAUCCGAGUGAUUUCUGCUAAAGAAAUCUUUUGCAAGUCAUAAAACCACUAGUGAAUAAGGGGUGGGCAAGUUCUGGUGUCAGCCGCCGCGGUAAAACCAGCACCUCAAGUGGUCAGGAGGAUUAUUGGGCCUAAAGCAUCCGUAGCCGGCUCUGUAAGUUUUCGGUUAAAUCCAUGUGCUCAACGCAUGGGCUGCCGAAAAUACUGCAUAGCUAGGGAGUGGGAGAGGUAGACGGUACUCGGUAGGAAGGGGUAAAAUCCUUUGAUCUAUCGAUGACCACCUGUGGCGAAGGCGGUCUACCAGAACACGUUCGACGGUGAGGGAUGAAAGCUGGGGGAGCAAACCGGAUUAGAUACCCGGGUAGUCCCAGCUGUAAACGAUGCAGACUCGAUGAUGCAUUGGCAUAUAGCCAGUGCAGUGUCGCAGGGAAGCCGUUAAGUCUGCCGCCUGGGAAGUACGUACGCAAGUAUGAAACUUAAAGGAAUUGGCGGGGGAGCACCACAAGGGGUGAAGCCUGCGGUUCAAUUGGAUUCAACGCCGGG
rnacentral:rRNA from 2 species